rnacentral:tmRNA from 7 species
CCCAUUGAAUUCGAUAUGAAAAUGCACUACCUGAUAAUUGCCUUCGCAAGGAGGCUACGGUGCUAAACCUUUUGUGCAAUAGAUGUACAGGACGCGGCUUCGAAGCCGCCGCCUCCACCAAGAACAGCCAGGCCGGGCUGCUGUUGAUGGGGGCGAAAUGGGAUCGACUGGCAUUGAAAGACUUAAGCUGUGCUCGGCAUGAUACCGCCGUUAUCGGGUCACAAGUGUAGUUGCAAACGACAACAACGCUAAGGAAUAUGCUCUCGCUGCCUAAUGGCGGUGCGGGAAUUCCGCUCCAAGUCCUCUAGGUUAGCCCCUUGAGGCGGGGUUCGGAGGUACCUGGCAACAGAAACCUCCACC